AUUACCCAAUCCUGACACAGGGAGGUAGUGACAAGAAAUAACAAUACGGGGCUUUAUGUCUUGUAAUUGGAAUGAUGGGAAUUUAAACCUCUUCCAGAGUAUCAAUUGGAGGGCAAGUCUGGUGCCAGCAGCCGCGGUAAUUCCAGCUCCAAUAGCGUAUAUUAAAAUUGUUGCAGUUAAAAAGCUCGUAGUUGAAUUUCUGCUGCAUUGCAUCUUCUUUUUGAUGAGUUGAUGUAUUGUGGCUUAUUUCGGAUGAUACUUGUAUUAUCCGGAUGAUUACUUUGAGAAAAUUAGAGUGCUCAAAGCAGGCUUUUGCCUUGAAUAGUUUAGCAUGGAAUAAUAAAGUAGGACUUUGGUUCUAUUUUGUUGGUUUUAGGUACCAAAGUAAUGGUUAAUAGGAACAGUUGGGGGCAUUCGUAUUUAA
rnacentral:rRNA from 1 species